rnacentral:tRNA from 1 species
UGUAGCUCAGUGUAGAGCACUUGCCUAACAUGCAUGAGGCCCUGGGUGCAAUCCCCAGUA